CAGCCAAUGAAAAGCUGCUAACCUGCUUUCCCACUUUACACCAAUGGACUUUGAUAGCAACUUUUUUCCUCUAUAAAAGAGUGGUUCUCCCCAUUAUUCAUUGGACUUGCCUAUAGUUUUGCCAUGGCUUGCUUGUCCCAGAUUACAAUUCUGUUAAUCCCAAAUAAGCCCAUUUUUUGCUGGUAAAAUAACUAACAGUUUUAUUUUUACGGUUCAUAGGUGUUACGGAUGUUCUCUCUCCAGGGCGGCUGUGUCUUGGACUGGAUACUUUGGAGACCCUGUCUGAGGAACUCUGCAGAGAGCGAGAGAUCCAGAACUUCUGGCCUAAGACUAGGCCUACAGAGGUGGAGACAGCAGGGGACCGCAGCAUUCCUGCCUGGGGACAAGCGUCGGGGAGCUCGGAAAGCACAGAGAUCUCGUACUUGGUCACCCCUGACCCGCUGGUCUUGACACGAUCAGUGCUCAGAAUGGCCCUGCUUUCCCACCCAUCUAGUUAUAGGUUGAAGUACACGCCAAUUAGGGUCCCUAAGGGCUCGUCCUGAGAGCUGUGACAGCUUUCCCUGGAAGUAGGCAGCUCCUGUGGGUUAGAUGCCGUGGACGGAGCUAAAAUCUAGUCUCGAUUCAUACUCAGGCACUACCCACCUGGGUUGAAGUCUUGGUAUCAGCAAAGAUACCUCAGCCACUGAAGACUUGUCCUGAGAGGUGCCCCUGGGGGAAAAACUCUGGGCUGUUGCCAAAGACACUGGAGGAAAAGGAUCUAAAAGGAAAAACAGUGCCCUCUGGCUGUGAGGAUGGUGGUGCUCCUGCAGCUCGGCGCUCUAGGAAACCAGGACUGGCCUCUCAGGCUGGGAUUUGCAAUUUUCAUGGUCCUCUGGGCGGCAUUUACUGCCUGCUUUGCAUUUCUGAGACAGGAAGAGACGGUAUUGGUUUGGGCCUCAGCAAAAUCCAGGCCCGCCAUUUCUUCAGCCAUUAUGAUGUAGAGGUUCCCCAUUCAAGCAGCAUUUUUUUUUUUUUUUUUUUAAAGGAGGUUCCAGGCCCAGUGUGGGGCUUGAACUCACAGCCUGGAGAUGUGCUCUUCCGCCUAAGCCAGCCGGGUGCCCUCAGGCAGCACUUUGAAUUACAAAAAUGCCCUGGAGCAAGGCAGGGAAGGAGGGGCCUUCUCCAGUAGAGCCAGAGCUAAGGCUAAUGGAGGCUUUGGGGGAACCCUGUGCUGUGUUCCUGGAUAUACUAUUGUCAUUACCUGAUCUGUUUAAUAUCACCUUCUGCUCAUACCCUUUAUCCCACUAACCUUCAAAACAAUCCAGAAACAGAAAUAUGAUUAUUCCCAUUUUGCAGAUGAGGAGACCAGAGUGGUCGAGUGGCUUGUCGGGACCACAUGGCCCCAGCUGAGGGCCCUGGGCAUGUGUCCCCUGUGGCCCCGCCCAUCCCAUCCCCUGCGUUCUGGAGUGCAGGGGGGGUGGCUGACCUGACAAGGCCAUUGAUGUUGUGGGAGCUUCCCAAACUACUCCAGCGUGAACAUCUUCCAGAUGGAUUCUCCACAGGGCAAUGAGGCAGGAAAUUUAUGGCUCAGCCUGAUUAAUGGGCCAGGCAGUUAAGAGUUCUUUGCCAAGCUAUGAGCAUAAUUUAAAGGAACCAAGGCAGGAGGAAAGGGCCCAUAACUCACAUCCUUAAAGGGUUCUUAGAACAAGAGACACGUUGGAUCAUUCAAAACAUCUUCUUUCCUCUUGCCAAAAAAAGGCUGGCGUGUUUCUGGGUGUUUUGGUCAAUGAACAAGGAGUCUGGAUGAAUAUACAUGGCAGAAAAAGUAGGGAAAAAUACUCGCAGGUCAUAAAUUUCCAGCUGAUGUUUUCUUUGUUGUUUUCUGACGGUUGGUAUUUAUUUAACCAUGUUCUUGCUCUUCAUGCCUCUCCUCCCACCUUAUAAAUGCCAUCCUCUUUAGCGGUGUCAUUUUUCAUUGUAUGGAAUUGAACUGCUGCCAGGAAAGCAGCUUCGGGGAUCAUAGAAAUGGUGCCAUAGAACACAAUGGAAGGAGUCCCAGAAUGGGAGUAGAAGUUGUAGUUUGAAUCCUGGCCCUAGUACUGCGGGCUGUGUGAUUUUAGGAAUGUUUCUGAAGGGGAGUGGAAUAUUCCCCCCCCCCCCCCCCCUGCAACGUGUCUCUUUGGCACAGGGACUGUUUUAGGCUGGUUGUUUUUGAGAAGCAGCUGACUUGGGAGGAGCUCUGAAAACCAAGAAGUUACCCUGUUAUAGGAGACAUUUGCGUGGGUGCGGGAAAUCUCCACAUGUAAGGUGUCUCUCCCUCCUGGUACCAGGAUGAAGGGGAUCUUUAAAUCUCCAGAACCUGUUAUCAGUGGAGUUGGCAGGGACUUAAAUCUGUGUAACAACCUAACCUGUGCACUGUGCAUGUCCCUGUCCCGUAACGGACUACCCUCCACCCAUCCAGCAUCUUUUAUCUUUAGCUGAAGAUGGAAUUUUCAGUUUCCAGACUUUGGUUUUCCUGGGUCUGUCCCAUGUAACCAGGAGGUAUACAUGUUAUUAAACUUUUGUUUGUUUCCUGUUACUCUGUCUUAUAUCAACCUAGUUAUUAGACCAGCCAAAGAACCUAGAAGGGAAGGAGGGAAACUUUUUCCAUCCCUACAGUUCUGGUGACCUGCAUGGGAUUUUCCCUGGCAGGGCCUUGUUCACUCUGGGGCUGCUGCAGCUGGGAGAUCCUGGGACCUCUAACAAAAAGCCAGCAGAAGGGGAGGGCUCUUACCUCGUCAGUCUCGGGGACCUCUGCCUGGAAGAAAUGCCUUAUUAAAUACCUGAUUGCUCCUAACUUUGGGAGCUCACCUUUAUGACAGCUUCCUGCAAUGAGUCACAACUGUUUAACUGAACUGACCUGUUCUCAGGACUGAGUGACUGGUUCAGUGAGAUACGGAGAAGUCUAUCAACUCAGUUUCUGGGCAGUGAAAAUUCUUCAAAGUUUCAAAGGGUCUAUUCUAUACCAGACUUUAAAUCAAAGCAACAUGUUGUUUAAGUGUUCUGGAAGAUACUGUUCUACAAAUUUUAUCUCGGCUGCUCUCCCUGCCCCAAGCUCUGAUGGAUUAUCAUUCAGCAAUAAUUUUCCUCUCACUGUGGACACAACAUGCCCAUUGAUGUUGAGUGCAACCAGGACAUUUUCCCCUUGGACUUCUGGUUGCCUUUAUCUCUGUCCUGCAAUUUACUCCCAUGCUUCUCCUGGAGCCUUCCCUCCGAGAGCCCUCGGACCCCAGCUCCCAUGGGGCCAGGCUGUCCUCUGGGCACCUCACAGCAAGGUGAUUGGGUUUCAAGGGAGAAGGAGAGACAGAGACAGAGAGGGGGAAAGGAGAGAUAUGGAGAGAGAAGAGAGAGAGAGAAGGAGAGAUGUGUGUGUGGGGGAUGUGGCGAGGAGAGAGGUAGGACAGGGAGGGGAGGGCACAGAGGUGUGUGGAGGAGGUCAUGGCAAGACCACAAACUGCAGAACCACCCUGAGGACAUACUGAAGCCCCCACCACCUUUGUGGCCUGCCCUUGGGAGUUGGCAACGUUGCUUCUGCUGCAUUCUAGUCAUCAAAGUCUAUUCACAAAGGCCCUUGGAGUUCCAAGGGGAGGCAGAAAGAGACACCAUCCCCUUAAGGGAGUGUGGCAACAUCCGGGAAGAACAUCCAAGAAGAACACAGUGGUCAAUUUUGGAAAAUAUUAAUCUACUGUAGAGCAUAACGCAGUUAUUUUCUCAAACAAGGAAUCUUUUCUCUGAUAGACUACUGUUAGCUGAAUAAAAAAUUGUAUUUUACUCCGCCGCACUUGCUUUUCACUGUAUACCCAAGUACAGCAAAUGCUCUGCUGUACACGGACAACGCUGUCAUGAGCUUUUAGGAAACCUCGUCUCCCAUGUCAGGCCCCCUCCCGUUAUCUUUUUAUAUGACCUUAUCUUUUUUCUUUGCUUACUGUUAGAAAAAUUGCUUUGAACGUAAUCUUUCCCUUCAAAGGAUGCAUCUAGAAAUGCACUUCCUGAAAUUCCUUUCGUAAUUGGUUCUAGUCAUCUGAGAAAAUAUAAAGCACUGUCGACAGAGUUUUGUUUCAUGAGAAGGCUGAUGACGGGUCAAGAGCCAUACAAAACCGUAACUACUCCCCAUCACCCCCCAUUGGCUUGUUCCUGUUUCAAAAAGUAUUCCUUUGAAAACAGAGAAUUUCUACACAACAUAAUUAUAGUACAUUGUAUUGUACUAUAUUAUACAAUUAUAUUGUACUAAUAUAGUAUAUUAUAGCAUUUGGACCAGUUGACCCAAGUCAACAUCAAAUAAGAGCCUCAGAUUAGGGGCACCUGGGUGGCUCAGUGGUUGAGCUUCUGCCUUUGGCUCAGGGUGUGAUCCUGGGGUCCUGGGAUGGAGUUUUGCAUCAGGUUCCCCGCAGGGAGCUCGCUUCUCCAACUGCCUGUCUCUGUCUUUCUGUCAUGAAUAAAUAAAUAAAAUUCCUUUAAAAAAAAAAAAAAAGAGCCUCAGAUUAUUUAGACAAAAAGGAAACCUAAUAGAUUAUGUCUUUUCACAGUACCUAUAAUAUUGUGUCCCGUGAUGGCAAGCAGUGGCUGCAUACAAGCCUGGGUGCACGGCCCCGGUGUGAUUAUGUGUUGUGAGUGCCCCUGAGGUCACCAAAGGAAGCCGUGGGUCUCUGAGCCCUACAGAUAUUGGAGCUGCUCAGACAUCUGUGAGACCUCACUGACUUUUAUCUCAGCGCCUGAUCACAAAGUAAACUGUAUUUGGUGCUUGGGAAGCCUCAGCCUGCUCUGUGGCCUGUGUGACCCUCUGCCACGAAGAAUAUCCAAGUGUGCUUUGCAGUCCAGGCCGCCAUGUACAGUGGUGUGUCAUGCACUGAGCAACUUCAGGAAUAUCCUUCUCAUUAAGGUCAUCCCAGGUUUUUUCUGGCAGAGAGCAAUAACAUACCUUGGGGAAGGGGCACCUUUUCCUAAUUCAUGUAGUGGUGUAUACUGCUUGGGAGGGGAAAGAAUAUUGACUAGAAUCAAGUUUACCCACAUUAAUAAUAAUGUUUCAUGCUUAUGUCGCCUUGGGGGUUCUUAAUCUCUUCUGUAGUGCCAUACACACUUGAUUUAUUGGCUUGUUUUCCUUUUUCCUUUGACUUAAUGGCUCUUUCUCAUUGUUUUCUGAAAACAUGGCUUUGCUUUGCUUCCCGGAAUGGGAAACAGAAACGUUUCCCAUUUCUGCUGUUCAGAGGGAAGUGUGGCUAGCACAGAGUGCUGGGAUUCAUAUCCCCAGAACGUGGCCUCAGGUGGCUGUGAGCAUUCAGUAGGUUCGUCUGGCCUCAGAACCCCACAGAGGACAGAAGGAGCACCCUUCUAAGGCUUGGGGAGUAUCAAGUGAGUGGAACACAGCACAUCUUACAACAGCCUGAGGGAUCUGCAGUAAGUAGACAGAUCCCUCUUAGCUUCUCUAACCAGAGUGCCUCCUGGGAGGGGAGCCCUUUCCCUCUUGCUUUUAUCCUCUCCUCCAUCUCCCGAGGAACCAAGUGCUUUAAUUUUCCUCUCUCCUAUCAGAAAUUCAGGGGUUUAAUACAUUUUAUCUGCUAAUGAAUGGAGAGGGGAUAAUUCCUAAUCUUACAAAAUUGCUAAUGGUAGCGUUUCAGGCCUUUCCAGGGAACGUUUUAAAUGGCGGUGGCGGCCUCUGACUCACCUGUAAGUGGUUGAAGUAGGUUUGGCUCCAUGAUCAUGUUGGGCCUGAGACAAAUGUUCACUUGGCAUGAAUGAAUACAUAUUGGGACAAUUUUAGUAUCUCCUCAGGAGGUGCCCCCAGAGAAGUGUAUCUGAGGAAGACUUUUUUUUUUUUUUCUUUUCCCCUCUCCUGGCAGCCUCGUGAUUAAGAAGUGGCCCUUUUGGGGCAGCCGGGGAGGCUCAGCGGUUUAGCGCCUGCCUUCAGCCCAGGGAGUGAUCCUGGGGACCCGGGACCGAGUCCCACGUCGGGCUCCCUGCAUGGAGUCUGCUUCUCCCUCUG